GCCACCUUAGCUCACUUGGUAGAGCGCAUCUUUCGUAAAGAUGAGGCACCGGGUUCGAAUCCCGGAGGUGGCU
rnacentral:tRNA from 1 species